CCCGGACGCCCCGCGCCCCGGGAGGAACCAGCGGAGAAGCCCCGGAGCGCUACAGACGUUCGCAACCAUUUGUCUAACCUUCAGAAAUAAGCAAAAUUAAGCAAUAUAGCGUUUAGGUGUAUGUGGUAAAGCGCUUUAAAAAGUCGGAGGAAGGGUAAACGGAGUUCGUUAGUAGUUAGGUUGGAGAGAGGCUGGGGGCGGGAUGCGGAAGGACGGGUGGGUGCUGCCGGCAGCCCUCGGGUAACUGGGUUCAGUGGUAGAUUGAUGGGUAUUUCACUGUGGUUUCUGUAUAAUACAUGGGAUGGUUACUCUCUUACAUGUGUGGAUGAUUUUAAAAUGAACUUGGCGGGCGCCUGGGUGGCUCAGUCGGUUAAGCCUCUGACUCCUGAUACCCACUCAGGUCAUGAUGUCAGGGUGGUGAGAUCGAGACCCAAAUGCAGCCCCUGGGCAGUGCGGAGUCUGCUUCCGUGUCUCUCAACCCUUCAAGAUUUUAUCUCCCACCUGCAAGAUGAAGAAACAGAACCAAAAGUUACCUGAGGCUAGCGGGACAAAGACAGGAAAGCCC
rnacentral:lncRNA from 1 species